AAACAAUCUCUAGUGUGCGGUGCAAUAAAUGAAGGGUGUCAUUAAAGUAGUACUGGAAACGUCAUGAAUCUUUAGGGAAUCUCAAACGGCUGUAUGACUGAUAAUUAAUAUUUCCAGUAAAUUUGGGGACUCACAAAUCUAAGCAAUUGCCAGCCUAACAUUAAAUGAUAAUUGAAAGAAACAGAGCAAAUUCAGAUUUUAAAAGGCAAAACGUUCCUCUCUCUCUCUCACAAUCGCGCCUCUCUUUCUAUCAACUUGUGAACUUCUUCUUGGAGAAACAAACAUUGACUUCCAAUUUUCCCUCUCUAAACCCACACGCAUGAAAUCCCUAACCUUUCAACAUAAAAUUUCCUACUGAAAUUCAAAUCCUAAAUCGGAACCGUUAUGAAAACAAUCGUAUGCUACAGAUUCAACCAUAUCUUUCUAAAUUCGUAAUCAACCAAAGCGAUAAACAGUUCUUUAAUGGCAUGGUGAAAAAAGUGUGUGUAUCGUUCGAGAAAACGUGGGGAUCGCAAAAAAUAAAUAAAGUUCGUCGAAAGACGGAGUUUUUGAUUGGGAUACCGGCGACGCGAUCGACCUCGAGGUGGGGAUUCCAGCAGCGUAACAGUACUCUCCUUCAGGGUCCUCUCUUCCAAUGAUUGGAUGUCUCUUAUAUAGAGUGAAAAUGGGUGGUCCUUGAAUCAUGAGCUAGCAGGGAUGAAAGGAAUCAUUCCGUUAGAAUUGGAUUUCUCAGAUAUUUGGUGGGGACCAGGACGAUUGUCACAGGUGAACCAACUUUGGAUGCUCAUGAAGGACAUAGAUGCUUAACAGUGCCAAUCUAUGCUUUAUCUCUCACGCAAAUCCAAGCACCCUUGCUGUGAGGUUGUAUGACAGAUGCUUUUGUUUUGUCUGAUAAUGAACUUCAUGCAUCUGAAACCAGCUUAAAUGCACUUUCUGCACCUAAAGCCUUGUUUUUGUCAGGAUGAAAGGUUGGAACUAGCUUCAUGUGCUACUUUCUAACAGUCUCUUCAUCAACAGAGGGCUCACUCCAGGUAUACCGUACCAAACCAUUUCUCCACUUGCUUUGUUCUCAGCAGAUAUAUCAGUAGAAGACUUCCUUGCACCAAUAUAUUCCCUUUCUCUGUUAUUUCUUUGGUGCUAACUGCUAUAUUUCAUGGUUCUGGUUUGAGCUUCUCUAUGACUACUGCCGGCAUUUGAUGGUAUUGAUUCUAAUCUUGGACUGUUAGGGACGUCGGGUUUAGCUUGGCAUUUUGUUGCUGCAGGUUCUACAGGUGUUGCAUCGUGUGACCUUGCAGUUUGGCACAUCUGUUGCAGCCUUGCUGCUGCGUUCUGCAUUGGAGUUUCGUUCUGCCGUUUUUCACUGAGCCAUUGCCAUUCUUCCUUUUCCUGUUUAUUGGCAGUCUUAUACUUUUCCAAUAAUUAUGUGCACUGACUUGAGGAUACCAAGUUGUAACCUUCAGAAGAACAAGCUACACUGCGGAACUUCUGUCUUCUAACGAGAGAGCAAGAGUUCGUGAAAUCCACAGCAACCAAACUUUAUGCGAAUUGUAUUCCAAAGUACUGCCAUAGGUUCCUUUCAAUGUAGUUAUGCUUUGUAAAGAAAUGUAAAUUACUGAAGCGGGAUCGAUGGAACUUAGGAUGUAACUUUAGCCUUGGGUUUUGAAUGUAUUUGAGAAUAGUGGCUUGGAGUCACAUGGUGAAUGUAUUUGGUUUAACAUACUGUAAUGAAUUGUUGCAUAGAAUAUGAUGUGUAGGGUCUCUUGAAUGGUUUGGUUUCAAAUUUGUAAUUGGAUUUUGGUUGAUGUAAAUGAGUGGAAUUUUUAUGUGACUUUUGAUA